ensembl:lncRNA
CCUCACUAAAGGGAAGGGACAUCAUUCAUGAAAUAUAAUAUGUAAUGGAAAUGAUAAAUGCUACUUUCAUUUCCUGUCAGAUAGCAUUUGAAUAAAGACAUGUAGCACUAAUUGAAAGCAGGCUGUCGGAGCAGCCAGCCUGAAGGGAGGAGAGCAGAGGAGAUGGAGAAUGACUUUGAUGUAGCAGCUUGAUGAGGGACAAAUGGAGAAUGUCCUAAGAAUGAUGAGGACCGGCCGGUCAUUAUGACAUCCUCAGUGUGCCUCUAACAGUCGUUCCACAAACACCAGCAGGAGCUUUUUGCCCGCGUGCACGAGUGGAUGAAGGGCCACAACACCUUAUUUCCACAAGUGCAGUAUAAAGUACAAAGACUUCUUGCUCUGCUACAUAUCAUGAAAGAAGGGUGGUCCCUUGAAUCUGCUGGAAGAAUAGCUGGAGAAGAUUGAGUUACUAAGGAGGAGAAGGAACCCGGAGAUUCUUUUUUUCUUUUUCCUUUUUUUUUUUUUUUUUGCAAAUGCCUCUUUUUCCCCGUUUUGCUUUGGUGUCUGUAGAAGAGGAUUUUUGCGGAGACCAACUUUUUUGCUGCUGUUUUUUAGACAAGAUGGAAAACCUUUAUAGACACAUAAUGCUCAUAGCAUGCAUACUAACACACGUAUACAUUUAGAGCUUACAAAACACAUAUGCAUACAUAUGGACCAAUAGACACACACAGGUAUUCUCUACUAUCACAGUGUACAUAUGCCAACUCAAACACACUCUUGCGCAAACAAAAACAAACACACACACACACACCAGCCUGCUACCAUUUUGGUUUUUGUGCCUACACAGGUGUGUUGCUCUGUGACAGGGCGAGCUCUGGCGAAAAGAAGACAAGAAGAGGAGAAUCCAGGAUAAUUUACAUGCAUCAUUCCUUAGGAAAUAGGGACCAAAGGACUAAACGCUUUUUAAAAGAAUAUAAAUAUAUAAAUAUAUAUAUAUAUUUAAAAAAAAACUCUUACCUUGUAGCUGCAAGUAUUACAAUUUAUUAGUAGUCAAAAGAAAUCAUUAAAUCAAUAUCCAGUGGCCUAAGUAAGAACAAAAAGGAAAUAAUGUAUACAUUGGAAAAAGAUGAGGAAACCUAGUAAAUGGAUGGUUAUUAUGUACUGGUUGCUGUUUGGCUGCCAGUUAUAGCUUAGAACAUGUAGAAUACUAGAAAAGUAGAUUUGCUAAUUUCUGCUGUUGUUUUUUAAAGAAAAAAAAAUACUUGAACUUGUAAAGUAAGGGGGGAGGGAUGAAAAGAGAAAAAAUAUGAAUUUUGUCUGUCCUGCGCCAGUGGGCUUCGGAACAUUGCAGUUUCUGUGUUGGACGUUACAGUCGGGCCACUGGAUAUCUCAGUCAUCGUGGUGUACAGUACAAUUCACAGCACUAUCUGACGGCUGUAAAGGAACUGUUCUGGAGGACAGAGACGGCAGGAGAAGAGGAAACACUGAUGGACCUUCCCGGUGUCUGUGCUGGACAGGGUGUGAGGCUUACUCUCCAUGAGCCUUUGUGUUCACGCGACAAUCCACUGUAAAGACCAAGCAAAAUCAGACAUGGUGUGUUUUCUUUCAAGCUUUUGUAUUACGACAGGGAGUGUGCUAUUAUGAAACUUAUUUAAAUAAAUCUAUAAAGAGACCAGCUUCUGCAAAGGAGACAGAAAAAAAAUGACAAAAAAUGAAGGCAAGCAGAGAAGAGGAGUGAGUUGAUAGCUACUGAAACUGCCAAAAGGGUGGACUCAACCGUAUCACAAUGAAUUGGCUCUCAUGACAUUUGAGACCCCUGACUAUGUAAAAAAAAAAAAAAUAGACCCAUUAAAAUGAACCACGUUCUAGGCAAAAGGGAGGAAGAAAAAGAGAGGGCAGGGAUAUUCAUGUGCGCUGAAGCAAUUGGAAAGUUGGUAUGAUAUUGAGAAACAUCGCCUCCUGUCUCCCCGGCUGCAGAAUAGAUACAAGCAGAACUUGUUCUGAAAAGACAAACUAUAUUGAUUGAUGUCAAAAGCUUUUAGAGCUCAUUUAGCUUUGUCGUAUAUGAUGUAAAUGCCACUGUUAAUAUGUUCCCUUCCUGACCUGAUUUGUUCAUAUAUUAUACAGUAUAUUGAGCCUGUGGAAAAACCUAACAACCCGUCUCAACCUGACCUAACAGUCUGAAUUACAGCCGUCCAGCAGCCAUCAUUCAGCUCCUCCCUGCCAAUCCAUGCCAGGCAGAAAACACAUCCUUUAUUUUGACAAUUCUACAGUGGUGGAUGGAGCCGGCCCCUCCAUGAACAACGGAUCAAUACGUUCGCAACGAGUCUCCAGGAGCAAGUCAUAUUCUGCCCCCAUGUGAUUAAGUUCUCUCAUUAGAACACUAGCCCCCACUCCCUCAGAGCUGCCUUGAAGAAUGGUGAGCAGGGGGCAGAGGUGGACGGUGGUUGGGAUGGGGGUAGGAAAAUCAACAGCCAAGCCCUGGCCCCCUGAGUACCACUGCGCACGACGCCAGCGUGUCCAACCUCGCCUUUUCCUGUAUCCUUUUUUUGCGGUGAUCCUGGGACUUUUCCCCCCGGGGACCAAAUCCAUUCGAGCAGAAGUCGCAGAAACCGACGACACCCAUCCGCACCCACACACCCUGGCCCGACACCACGGAUGUCUCUGUGUCCUAGCUCUUGGCAUGUAUAAGGCACCUGCCGCCUUCUGUGCAGCCUGCCUCUGUUUACCUCUGGGACUCGCUCUCCAAAGUGGAGCGGACGCAUUCCAAGUCACUGCAGCAUUGACUGACCGAAAGCACUGCCUGCCUGCAUCCCAUCAGACUUAACUACAGUGCAAUGACUUUCAUUCUCUCUCUUCUAGCUGCAUACAGAUCACACCCUACCGCUCUUUUCUGGGAGCAAUGAAAAAAAGUAUUGGAUUUUCUCUUUUUUCAGGCCUAUCUACCCUGGCUUUUACUAUGCCAUAUUACUGUAAUGUAUAUCAACAAUGCUGAGUACUCUGGUCAUUCUGACUCAAGCAGGCUAUACUGUUCAGCCCUUCCCCUGAAACACUGUUCCUAACCAACCCACGGCUCGCGGUGAUCUGUCCCUCCACAUUAGACAUGCUAUUUCACCUUUCCCUCUAAUUAGGUUGUAAUGGUAACUCUUUACAUUAACACCAACCGAGUGAAAAAUCGUCAGCAUAAUCAUUUGGACCAAAUUACUUUGGGCAUGGUCGUCUGAAUGCUCUUUGAUGACAGAAGGUAGAUUAGAGAGAGUUAUGUUUGAAAGGGCUCCCUGGCAAGGCUUUCGACAGCUGACCUGGCACGGACACAGGAUCCAGGAAGCAGGAUAAAACCCUCCGUAUCAUAGCUACUCUAGGUAUUAAUGUUUGAUAUUUGAGUGGUGUGGGUAUAUAUUAUUUCAAACAUCAGUAUAUAUAAAAAAAAAAAAAAAGGUUUCAGUUGUUGCUCCAGGCACAAAAGCUAGUGAGCAAAUAGCAGGUUGAAAUGGGUAGCAACCAAGCAACAUUUGUGUUGAAAAGCCGCGAGUUCCUCCAUUGCAGCCGCCUGCUGAGUGGUCUGUGUUAUUGUACUUCAGCUUUCAGCAUGUAAUUGUAUCUCAACAAUCUUUUCAGAGGCUGCCUUUUUCCUCAAAAUAACCUGCUCAAAAAAAUAAAAAAAAUUCACUACAGUAUUACAGCCGGGACACCUGCAAAGCAUAGAGUAUUGUUCAGAAGUGAAAGGAGGCGAAUUGGUGGAGCAGAGUAGUUCUUUCGAAUCAAAUCAUGCCCAUUGAAGAAACUGUGCCAGCUUUGGUCUUGGGUCGUCUCAACUUGCCUUCAAAAACACAGUAAAAAAAUAAAAAAAUAAAUCACACUCAGCCUUUAGAUGUUCUGAAGUCAGCCAAACAAGCCGGGGCCAGGAAGUCCCAGGAAACAAUGUGUAGGUCAAGCAAAGAGGGUAAGAAGAAACACAUGUCUGCACAGCAGCCAUUUUGAGCUCAUCAUUUACUUAGUGCUCAGUUAUUGAAUGGGAAACCUAGUGUUCCAUGAGCCUUGUCUCCUAUGGUUGUUUCUCUGCUGGCUCAAGACUGGUUCUGUGACCCCCACACCGAGCCCUCCGGGCCGCUUCGUUAGCCUCUCUCGUCUUUCUGUAGAACCAGAUAUAUGCUGCACACCCACAGAAUGUACUUAGAGCAAGGUCGUAUUCAACCCAGGUCCAGUCUCCUGGCCAGUCCUCUGUUCACUGCUUGACUAACAGUGCCGUGCUCGUACAGGGAGCUGCCAAAGCAUGCUCUGAAGGCUAAAUUAGGCGAUGUUAAAUCAGAGAGUUGUUUGAACAAGGGUGCUCUUAUUGCUCUCCCACCCAGGGGAGGGUGUUAUUGUCAUGACAUGCAGUGAAACCAGAAAUAGCUGUUGUGAAGCCAGCCUCUGGAACAUCGGAAAUGUGAAGUGGGUUUGAUUACAUCUCUUAUUGAAUCUCAGCGCAGCUCUGGCCAUGUCUGCCCUUUAGUCCAUGCACAGGCUGCCUGUAUACUGUUAUCUUAGGAGUGAAUCGUUAUUCACACGAUGCGUUUAAUGGCUGCAAUUGGAUGUUGUGCUGACUGACAUCCCACUGCUCAUAUUUGAAAGAGAAAAAUUCAGUAUUGAAAUUGUUGUUUUAUGCUGCUAAUGUGUUUGAGUGACUUAUGGGAAAUUCUUCAAAAAUCAUGACUAAUUAAAUUGUAAUGCCAUCAAAAGAUAUUUAUGGUUAUAUGUUGAUGGCAAAGAUCACUUUAAUGUGACCUUUGAAUGUACUGUAGCAUUAACACCUCUGAGAUAAUUAUUCCCAUUUGGUAACCACAUGUUAUUCUGCCUCUAUUGACAUGUCAGACUUCAUAGGGAGUUAGCAACCUUAGAGCUCCGAGGCUGACAGAGAGGCUGGGUAACCAAUCCUAAAGGCCAGAGAGGUUGACAGAAAGGCUACAUGACCAAUCAUCUGAGUUCUGAGUCUGGCAGUUCAAUAACCAAUCAUAGCGGGCAAAGAGAGAACUGCUGUAGCAUGUCUGCCAGCCCCUGGGUGUAGAGAGCACUCACCCUAAAAUAGCAGUGAUUGUCAAGGAAAGGAAGUGAACUGUAAUUGACUGAAAGUGGAGAGAUAAUUAAAGGAACCUGUUGGACAGGAGGGAGAAAUUAAUGCCUCUCAUUUAAUAGCUGCUUUGGGAGAAGAGGAGAGCUUUUCCCUCAUCUCAAACAGCUAACGCAAAAAGGGUUUUUGGCCAUGGAAAUGGGAUUUCAGCUGAAACGGAAAGUGAAGUGGGUUUGGGGGGAUGGAGUGGGGGAGGUGAGCACUAAACCGAAACUCCACAAAAUCUCUUUUAUACUCAGGGCAUCAGGCGCUAUGAUGUCAGGAUUAGUGGAGACUUUCAGAGCCUUGCCUUCCCCAUGGGGAGCAGUGGCUGAGCGGUCACCCAGAGAGAUGGAGAGGUUAGUGGGAGCGUGUUGGGCCUCGGCCGAUGACACUGUGGGUCUCUGUAUGAACCAGAGAGAGGAUCACAGUCAGUCAGCCAGCUAGUCAGUCAGACGGGGGGGGGGGGGGGGGGUACAAUUUGUCUAAAGCAGAACAGUGGCACAGGAACAUGAAAACAAUAAUGCCUUGAAAAUAUCAGGUCAUCGAGCAAAAAAAGGCUUUGAUCCUAUCAUAAACAACAUAAAUAGCAGUGAAUCAGAGGAAAGAGUGCAAUCAUGUUUGACAACAAAGCUGGAGAUUAAAAUCCCAAAUGAUGAAGACAAAUACUUUUUUAUUAUUUCAUGUAAAUAAAAAAGAAAAGAAUCAAAGGUAGCAGGCAGUAGGUACUGCCCAGCAUGCAGAGAUGUCUGCAGUAGUUACCCAGCUGAAUGGGAUAUUGAUGUCACUAUAAAACGUAUCCACAACAGCCCAGGGAUUCUUUAGAAGGUGGGGCAUUUUAACGCUUUUUGGUUAGUGUGUCAACAUGAUUGUAUAGGCUCAAUACCAGGAGUGUCAGACAGAUGGCCCAUGGGUCCAGUCUGCUAAUAGAGUGGCUUGAGUAAAAAUUGAAAGUCAAUAAAAUUAAAAAUGUCUAAAAACAUUGAAACUUAGAAGAAAUUCUAAUGGACCUGCAUUCACAGUUUUUUUUUUUUUUUUGUACUGUGUCCAGCUAAUGAUCACCGAAAUUAAAGCCAGACAGUCGGGGAGAAUUUCCAAAAACUAUGGAUAGAGGACUAUUUUAGCAAAUGUUAACGUUGAGACAUUUUCAGUACGGCCCCCAGGACCUCAUUGAAGGUCAAAUGCUGCCCCUAGGGCAAAAUGUGUUUGACAGCCCUGGUCUAUCCUCUAAGCAUAACAGGGAAAGAGUAUAGCUGAGGUCUGACUCUAGAUGAUUUAAUAGCACCAAAACUUCACCCUGGAGCGAGGCAUUCAUUAGAAUUCUGUUUACACUGUCACAUCAUGAUAUUUCUGACAGCUGAAAGAUUGCCUGUGCACUAGCUAAUUGGAUUAGUCCAAUCGGAGCUGAUGAGAUGGAGAGAUGUGACCUCGAUGUGGUGAAGAGCGGGCACGCCCCUCAGUCUGCUCCCCCGCCGCGCGUUGCAGGGGAGCAGGUGAUAGUGACAGCAGCCGUUAGCUUGCCAGUCGCUAGCUAUGUAGUUUGCCACUGGGGCUGGGCGCCGCCUGCCAGUCACCGCCACCUUUCACAGGGCCACUGGGGGCAGGGUGGGGGGGGGGGGGGUCAGAAGAGGGUGAGGGUGAGACUGGGUCUGAUAACGUGUACAUAUGAACCCAGAACACAGGUGUAUGAUGAUGAGACAGUGGGAGGGCCAGGAGAGCUGGAUGUUCUGAUACUAGAAUGAAGGAACAUCAAGCCCAUCCUUCAGAUCUCCCUGCCUGGCUGUGUGGAUUGUCUGCUCUCCCUACCGACUGAGUGCAUAGCUGCCUGCAGGACUCCUGUACAGACAAUAGAGCUUAUUUUUUAAUUCAGUUAAGCCUUCAUUCUUUUUAAAUCAUGUUCGAACGAUAAAAAAAGAAGAAAUAAAUAGUUAAUAUAUUUCACUGACUUUAUGAGAAGGAAACUAUACAAUAAUUUAUCAAAAACAUGUAGAGAAGAAAAUGAUUUUAUUUCUUGUAUAUUGAAGUGCUGAUGUUAAAAUGGAUUUUAUAUUCAUGUUGGUAAAAGGUUCUUUUUUUAUUUGUCUUAUUGUUUUCCUUUUUUAUUAUCUGCUGAAGCUGGGAUAGACCUAAUGUUACAAGGUUUAUUCUGAUAUGCUUUGACAGUACACACGCUGAAGGGACAUUUUGCUGCACAAUACCAGUAUGGAAUUACUUGGGUAGAUUUAAAAAGAUGUUGACAGAAAGCUAUUACAUUUAGUACACAAAUUAAGAGUGUAAAUGAUGAUUAAAAGUAAUGUGGAUUCAUAAAGAUGAAUCCAUUGCACAACUCAAUUUCAAGAGAACUUAACAGCUGUAAGUAAUGCAUGUUCAGAAGGAUUUCAUUGUAGGCUUUUUGUUCUUUUGGAACACCUUUGAACAUUUCUCAAUUUUUUAUUUCAAGGAUAAGUUGUCAUUCACCAUGACCAUUGUUUGUUAACCAUGGAUUAAUUUCUUGCUUGAUCAUGCUUUCUUAAUCUUGGAUACUGUUUUUAUAGAAAGUUUUUCAAAGAUACAUGUGUUUUGAUUUCAUCUUCUCUGCAUGCAGUAAGUUGCUCUAAGACCUAAUUUCUCACGAGCAAUUUCAACAUUACUGGACUAUCUUGUAUAUAAUAACUGUGGUUGACUCCAACACCCCUGAACAAAAUGUGCCAAUAAUAGAUUGAAAGUUCCACAACACUGUUUUGGUCUGGUCAGGUCAGCCUAUGGUCAAGUCAACCCAUGGUUAGGUCAACCAAUGGCCUUGACAUCAAACGGAUCAGAAGAGGGAAGGCUGCUUUAAAACACAGUCCAUUCUCUUCUACAGUACUACCUGUGAAGACGUGUUGCAUUGUAUUCUGGGUAUGCCAUUACUAGUUAUUUUGUGUUGAUGCUUCUUCAUAUGCUCUGUUUUUUUACCUGCAGAGAUGAUGAGUUUCUGUUGAACUGAAAUCCAGCUGUCAGUUGAAAAGAUUGCCUUGUGUCAGUUUUGCCUCAAUCCCACUUCUGACACCAAUAAGGACGGGGUCAUACAGUAUUUUUCCAUUUCCAUCGGUUACAAGGACCAAAUUUUACCACAUGAAACCAACAGGGCAGCGUUGCCCUAAUCAAACAUGAAAUGAGAGCCUCUGAGAAACUAUUCAGAUUUCUAGAAAAGUGAAAGUCAUCCACUGUACUUUGCAUCAUGAGACUUUACAUUCCCAGCUUCGCUCUCUCCUUUCAUUAACUUAGUUUAUUUUUUCCUGGAAAAUGUUCAUUUUAACUUGUGUUUCAUCAAUCAUUAUUACUUUCUGGUGCUUAUCUGUUGAUUUAUUGAUGUUUUUUUAGUUGAGUGAUAUUGUUCUGUAUAUCUUUCACAUUUUUACUUUAACAAACUUUGAAACUUGGUUUAUUAUUUUUCUUUUCUUGAAACAGAGCUGUAAUUUGACUAAGUGUUGGCACGGGUCUGUUUUUCCCUCAUUCGGGGUGGUUUCUUCCAUAGUGCUCCUUGAACUCUGUAGUUCUCUAGUUCAUUAUAUUCAACUUAGACUAAAAUAAAGCACAGUCCUGUAGAAGAUUGA